rnacentral:rRNA from 1 species
ACCGGCGCACGGGUGAGUAACACGUAUCCAACCUGCCGUCUACUCUUGGACAGCCUUCUGAAAGGAAGAUUAAUACAAGAUGGCAUCAUGAGUCCGCAUGUUCACAUGAUUAAAGGUAUUCCGGUAGACGAUGGGGAUGCGUUCCAUUAGAUAGUAGGCGGGGUAACGGCCCACCUAGUCAACGAUGGAUAGGGGUUCUGAGAGGAAGGUCCCCCACAUUGGAACUGAGACACGGUCCAAACUCCUACGGGAGGCAGCAGUGAGGAAUAUUGGUCAAUGGACGAGAGUCUGAACCAGCCAAGUAGCGUGAAGGAUGACUGCCCUAUGGGUUGUAAACUUCUUUUAUAAAGGAAUAAAGUCGGGUAUGCAUACCCGUUUGCAUGUACUUUAUGAAUAAGGAUCGGCUAACUCCGUGCCAGCAGCCGCGGUAAUACGGAGGAUCCGAGCGUUAUCCGGAUUUAUUGGGUUUAAAGGGAGCGUAGAUGGAUGUUUAAGUCAGUUGUGAAAGUUUGCGGCUCAACCGUAAAAUUGCAGUUGAUACUGGAUAUCUUGAGUGCAGUUGAGGCAGGCGGAAUUCGUGGUGUAGCGGUGAAAUGCUUAGAUAUCACGAAGAACUCCGAUUGCGAAGGCAGCCUGCUAAGCUGCAACUGACAUUGAGGCUCGAAAGUGUGGGUAUCAAACAGGAUUAGAUACCCUGGUAGUCCACACAGUAAACGAUGAAUACUCGCUGUUGGCGAUACACAGUCAGCGGCCAAGCGAAAGCAUUAAGUAUUCCACCUGGGGAGUACGCCGGCAACGGUGAAACUCAAAGGAAUUGACGGGGGCCCGCACAAGCGGAGGAACAUGUGGUUUAAUUCGAUGAUACGCGAGGAACCUUACCCGGGCUUGAAUUGCAGAGGAAGGAUUUGGAGACAAUGACGCCCUUCGGGGCCUCUGUGAAGGUGCUGCAUGGUUGUCGUCAGCUCGUGCCGUGAGGUGUCGGCUUAAGUGCCAUAACGAGCGCAACCCUUGUUGUCAGUUACUAACAGGUUCCGCUGAGGACUCUGACAAGACUGCCAUCGUAAGAUGUGAGGAAGGUGGGGAUGACGUCAAAUCAGCACGGCCCUUACGUCCGGGGCUACACACGUGUUACAAUGGGGGGUACAGAGGGCCGCUACCACGCGAGUGGAUGCCAAUCCCUAAAACCCCUCUCAGUUCGGACUGGAGUCUGCAACCCGACUCCACGAAGCUGGAUUCGCUAGUAAUCGCGCAUCAGCCACGGCGCGGUGAAUACGUUCCCGGGCCUUGUACACACCGCCCGUCAAGCCAUGGGAGCCGGGGGUACCUGAAGUGCGUAACCGCGAGGAGCGCCCUAGGGUAAAACUGGUGACUGGGGCUAAGUCGUAACAAGGUAG